GGGUGAAAUUGUACCAGCACUAAUGCACCACAUCCCAUCCAAAAUUAGUUAAACGUGCUUGGACAAGAAUAGUACUAAGAUGGGUGACCUAUUGGGGAGUCAGAAUUCAAUUC
rnacentral:rRNA from 1 species